rnacentral:lncRNA from 1 species
AAAAAAUAAACAAGAUAUUCGCAUUUUGAGCCUCAAAAUCUUCUUUUAGUCUAUAUUGAAACCAUUCUGAAGCGUACGAAAAGUAAAAAUAUGUUUAGUAUUGAUGUUUAACAUCCAGAGUAAGCACAUGACGUCACAUUGUUUAGAUGCUAAAGACAAUGCAACAGUUUCGCGGACUUUUUCAUUUAUGCCAUUUUUAAGCCAAA